GUAGGAAAGUUUCGGUUGAGGAGUAAGAGCGGCGGCGGGAGCAGUAACCCGCGCGGGGGAGGCCGACGUCGGUCGGAGAGGGGGUACGAGAGCUGCUGGUGGUGUUGUCGUGGCCGGGGCGGCCCGCGCCUGGGCUGCCGGCACUUCGCGGCAGGUUUGUUGUCUUUCAGUUCGGGAAGAGGUGGGGGUGGGGAAGGGAGGGGCAGGAGCGCAGGGGAUCGGGCAGCCGGAAGGGCUCGGGUCCUCGUUCCUCCUCCUCGGAGGGUUGCCCUUGGAGUGGGGGCAGUUAACCGUUCGAUUGGUGUCCGCGGCCAGCCCACCGGACCAGAGUCUCCCGCGAGUUCACCUCACCUGGGUUUCGGGACGGCGGCGCUAGGGGGUCUCGGGCGGGAGCCGGGAGGAGGCAGCGGGAGGGCGACGCUCGGGGUCGGGUCGCGCGGUGGGUGGCCGGGCCGGGUGUGGAGAUGGGGCGGGCCAGGGCGGGGGAAGGGGCCGACGCGGCGCCCGGGCUGCCCAGGAAAGUUUGACUUCAACUCCCCGCUUGUGGGCGGAGGGUCGGAGCUUGGCCAGGGGUGGGGGGCCGGCCUGAGGUGGGGGACCCCAGUGAGGCUCCGCCUCCUUCUGGACCGAAGGGGGCUCCUGCCGAGCCGGGGAGCUCGCGGAGCCGCUGGGCCCCGGGGCUCAUUGUUACGCAGUUCGAAUGAAUGGGCUCCCAGGCGCCUGCGCGCUGGGGCAGAGCCGAGGGGAAAAACAAGCCCGGAGUCCGGGCUGCGGUCACAUGAUGGGGGGAAGGGAGGGGAACGCGAUGAAUGGCGAAAGAGGGUGGGGGAUGGACUUGGCGUGAACCAAGAGGCGCUGCUCUGUGUGACCCAAAGAGGAGGCUUGGCAGGCGAUUCCAGCCUCCGCCUUUCAACCUAUGCUGCCGCCGCAGGCCGAUUGAAACAACAAAACAAGCCAGGCGAAGUCAACAGCCAGGUUUUUGUAGCUUUAAAUGCUGCGUGCUGUCUAGGGUAUUUCACUCUCCGCUGUGCACUCUGCACUCCAGAGUUCAUACUUAGGGAGUUAUCAGCUACUGUCGUUUUUAGAAGGAGCACUGACAGCGAGGUAAUACUCAAGUUUUCUGUUUGUUCUGUUUCUGGCUCACGUUGCCAUUGA
rnacentral:lncRNA from 1 species